GUAUGACGUCAAGUUCUCUCCGUGCACCAGGAGGUAGGAGAACGCCACUCUGCUUUCUGACUUCCCAAAUCCACGAGGACGUGAUUCUGCAGUUUCGUUGUUCCCCCGGGAGCACCGCAUCGCCUGGAGGACGCUGGCUAUUACCUCAGAACAGAGCUGCGGGAUGACCGUCUCCGGAGACAGGAAGGCGCUGGGCUCUGCGUCUGAGGGCCACGAAUUUCUAGAGGAUGGAAAAGUGUCCAUGAAAACUUAGCUGCUGUAGCUGUUAGAGCCCUGCGUGACGCCCUUCAUACUCUGGCGGUAACAGGCUGGGGCAGAGGCGUAGUCGGGGGUCACGAGUAAGCCGCGGAGCCACACCAUUACGGUACGGCGUGAUGGCCUGAACCCCCGCUGCGUCCUUAAUGUGACCCUCCACCCACCACCGUCACCACCAUUACCACCACCAUCACCACCAACGUCAUCUACCAGGGCUCAACCAACCAUUUCCGCGACACUCACCAUCACUGCCUAAAAUGAAGAAAGGAGAGACGGCAGUUCACUCCCUAGGCUCCACGCUGACGUGCCCCACGUGCUGGCU